GAAGAUAUGCAGUGCCCAAACAGGCAUACACAUUCUAUUAGUUCAGCGUGGUGUGAAAACAGGGGUGUUCUCCAGACCUUGGGCAGUGACAUCCAGAGCUCAGAAACAACCGAGAGCUAACAAGCAGGGGGAGUUAACGACGUGAGGAAAGAAUCUGGCGUCUGAGGGAUCCAGAGGAGAAGACUGAGAUAACCGAACUUGACUGAGACUACUGAGGACUGGGUCGAGUUCAUCUUUUAAAAAAUAUCAGUGACCCUUGGAGCCUGAGAAGAGAUUCUCAGUAAAACAUUUACUGAGUAAGAAGCUUCUGUUCCACAGAGAAGAUAAGGCUCUUGCUUGUCUUUAGGCUGGCUUUGAAAGAGCUUCCUGGGACAGCUAGACACCCUCCAGAUGCUGCCUUUUGGGUUGUCUCUUUACCUUUAGACUCCCCCCCCCCCAAGAUUUUAUUUAUUUAUUUAUUUAAGAGAGAGAAAGAGCAUGAACGGGGAAGGAGCAGAGGGAGAAGAAGAGAGAGAAUCCUAAGCAGACUCCCUGCAUUGUUUAUUGGAAUUUGACGCCUGGACCUGCUGUGACCGUUUUGCUAAUGCCAAGAGGAUGAAGUCAACACACAAAGGAGACCAGAUCAGAGGGAACCAUAAGAAGCAGAUUUGGAGCCUGAUUCACUGCUGGAUUUCUUAUUAUGCAAGGAAACAAACUUCCUGAUCUCCUGAUUAUUCAAGCCACUUUGAGUUCAGGUUAUCUGUUUUUUAUAGCUAAAAGCAUCCGAAGUUAUACCCAUCAAAUACACAUAGGCAACACACACAAAAUAUCUCCUCCCUAACCAACCCUCGCUGUCUGAAAUGCUUCUCCUGACCCUUUUUUUCACUGGGGAAUUUUCUCUCUACAAUAUUUGCAUAUCUCUGCAAGAUUCUCUUUAAAUAUUUUCAUUUUUCUAAAAAUUAGUUUAAAUGUUGCUUACUAUUUUAUUGAGUCUUUACCAAAUGCUAGACCCUUGGGGCUGUGAGGAUUUGAGGUUAAGGGAAGGGGCCAGUGGAUGGGGCUGGUCUUUAAAGACUUGCUUUCAAAAAAUGAAGAAUUAUCUAGACCACGGUCUUCUUGGACUCCUCUCACUU